GCCAGGUGUGGUGGUGCAUUCCUGUAAUCCCAACAACUUGGGAGACUGAGGCAAGAGGAUUGUCAAAUUCAAGGGCAGCCUUCCCCAUCUAUCGAGGCCCUAAGCAACUUAACAAGAUCCUGUCUCAA
rnacentral:sRNA from 1 species